rnacentral:tRNA from 1 species
GCGGGCGUGGCGGAACGGCAGACGCGCCGGACUUAGGAUCCGGUGGGGGUGACCCCGUGAAGGUUCAAGUCCUUUCGCCCGCACCA